UCCCCUUGCUUUGGAAGGGAGAUUACUAGUUUAUAAUGAUCUUUAUUCCUAAAUCCUUGGUAUUUAGACAUAUAAAUAAUGGAACUUUUAAUUGUAAUCCAUUUACAUCAAUAACAGUGUAACGUAAGAAAAAAGACAAAUUAAAAAUGGCAUCAACGUAUUUAUGCACCUCAAAGAUUGCCUUCACUCUUUUGUUUGGUGUGUCUCUCAUCUUCUUCAUUCAUGCAACGGGAAUUUCGAAUGAGGGGUUGGAUUCAGACUGUGAUUUUGUAAACAUUUCAUGCAAAACAAAGAAUGAUUGCAAAAUUCCAUGUCAAAGAUCAGGCCACCUUACUGGUCUUUCUAUUUGUGUUCCUGAUGGGCAAUUUGGACAUGCAAAUACACGUUGUUGUUGUUUAACUGCAAAAAAGUAAUACUAAUUCCAGAAAAGUAAUUACAAACUACUCCCUCCAUUUCGUUUUGAUGUAUCCAUUUCAGAAAGUGGGGAGUUUUUAAGAAAAUUAGAAUCUUGGUUUGUAUUGGUAUAAUUGUAAUGAUUGGGUGUAAGAAAAAUGAUUGUAUGUAAGAGAUUAUAAUAAAAAAAGAAGAGAGAAAAUAAUAAAGAAAUAAGGUAAGAGAGAGGAGUGCGCAAAGGCUACAUAUACAUUGUGUGUAUGUGGGCCAAGCAUACAAUGCUCAUCUACUGGUCCAAGCCACAUCAUCGUAGCCAUGUCAUCGUAUGAGUCAUCCCAAAAUUUCCCCAAAAUUUGGUUUCUGGUUUGAAUUUCAAAUUCAAACCCUAACAAUUUCUUUUUCCUUUUUUUUCGGUCGAUGUUUACAAAGUAGUGCCAAAAAUUUGAUCUCAAUUCUGAAAUCUUAGAUUUGUUUGUUGUUGUAAAUUUUCAUUCACCCUUGAUUUAUAAGAAGAAGAAAAUCCAAUUUGCGGUAUUUCUUUCGA